rnacentral:rRNA from 1 species
UACGUAGGGUGCAAGCGUUAAUCGGAAUUACUGGGCGUAAAGAGUGCGUAGGCGGUUACGCAAGACAGAUGUGAAAUCCCCGGGCUUAACCUGGGAAUUGCACUUGUGACUGCGUGGCUAGAGUGUGUCAGAGGGGGGUAGAAUUCCACGUGUAGCAGUGAAAUGCGUAGAGAUGUGGAGGAAUACCGAUGGCGAAGGCAGCCCCCUGGGAUAACACUGACGCUGAGGCACGAAAGCGUGGGGAGCAAACAGG